CAGUAGCCGCGGUAACACGAAGGGUGCAAGCGUUACUCGGAAUUACUGGGCGUAAAGCGUGCGUAGGUGGUUGUUUAAGUCUGCUGUGAAAGCCCUGGGCUCAACCUGGGAAUUGCAGUGGAUACUGGGCGACUAGAGUAAGGUAGAGGAUAGUGGAAUUUCCGGUGUAGUAGUGAAAUGCGUAGAGAUCGGAAGGAACAUCUGUGGCGAAGGCGACUAUCUGGGCCAUUACUGACACUGAGGCACGAAAGCGUGGGGAGCAAACAGGAUUAGAUACCCCGGUAGUCCCUGUCUCUUAUAC
rnacentral:rRNA from 1 species